rnacentral:tRNA from 1 species
CGGGGUGUAGCUCAGCUUGGUUAGAGUGCUUGCUUGGGGUGCAAGAGGUCGCUGGUUCAAAUCCAGUCACUCCGA